rnacentral:rRNA from 1 species
GACGAACGCUGGCGGUGUGCUUAACACAUGCAAGUCGAACGGAAAGGCCUGCUUUCCCUUGUGGAUUGCGGGUACUCGAGUGGCGAACGGGUGAGUAACACGUGAGUGAUCUGCCCCCAACUUGGGUAUAAGCCUGGGAAACUGGGUCUAAUUCCCGAUAGGACUGCAGGGUGGUGCCUGUGGUGGAAAACGAUUUUCUAGUGGUUGGGGAUGAGCUCGCGGCCUAUCAGCUUGUUGGUGGGGUAAUGGCCUACCAAGGCGGCGACGGGUAGCCGGCCUGAGAGGGUGGACGGCCACAUUGGGACUGAGAUACGGCCCAGACUCCUACGGGAGGCAGCAGUGGAGAAUAUUGCACAAUGGGCGGAAGCCUGAUGCAGCGACGCCGCGUGGGGGAUGACGGCCUUCGGGUUGUAAACUCCUUUCGACCGCGAGGAAGCCACCUGGUUGGAAGGGUGGUGACGGUAGUGGUAGAAGAAGCACCGGCUAACUACGUG